UCCGAUGGUCUUGUGGAAAGAUCUCAGCUACGGGACCGGAGGGUUCCGGGUUCGAAACCCGGUUCUACGGAA